UCGGGAAUUUUGGGCAAUGGGGGAAACCCUGACCCAGCAACGCCGCGUGAAGGAUGAAGUAUUUCGGUAUGUAAACUUCGAAAGAGUAGGAAGAAUAAAUGACGGUACUAUUUAUGAGGUCCGGCUAACUACGUGCCAGCAGCCGCGGUAAUACGUAGGGACCAAGCGUUGUUCGGAUUUACUGGGCGUAAAGGGCGCGUAGGCGGCAUGACAAGUCACUUGUGAAAUCUCUGGGCUUAACCCAGAACGGCCAAGUGAUACUGUCGCGCUAGAGUGCAGAAGGGGCAAUCGGAAUUCUUGGUGUAGCGGUGAAAUGCGUAGAUAUCAAGAGGAACACCUGAGGUGAAGACGGGUUGCUGGGCUGACACUGACGCUGAGGCGCGAAAGCCAGGGGAGCAAACGGGAUUAGAUACCCAGGUAGUCCCUGAGCGGGCUGGCAAGGCGCAU
rnacentral:rRNA from 1 species